UUUGGUGGCGAUAGCGAAGAGGUCACACCCGUUCCGAUACCGAACACGGAAGUUAAGCUCUUCAGCGCCGAUGGUAGUCGGGGGUUUCCCCCUGUGAGAGUAGGACGCCGCCAAGC
rnacentral:rRNA from 1 species